CCUACGGGGGGCAGCAGUCGGGAAUAUUGCGCAAUGGAGGAAACUCUGACGCAGUGACGCCGCGUGCAGGAAGAAGGUUUUCGGAUUGUAAACUGCUUUAGAUAGGGAAGAAAAAAGACAGUACCUGUAGAAUAAGCUCCGGCUAACUACGUGCCAGCAGCCGCGGUAAUACGUAGGGAGCAAGCGUUAUCCGGAUUUAGUGGGUGUAAAGGGUGCGUAGACGGGAAAACAAGUUAGUUGUGAAAUCCUUCAGCUUAACUGAGGAACUGCAACUAAAACUAUUUUUCUUGAGUGCUGUAGAGGAAAGUGGAAUUCCUAGUGUAGCGGUGAAAUGCGUAGAUAUUAGGAGGAACACCAGUGGCGAAGGCGACUUUCUGGACAGUAACUGACGUUGAGGCACGAAAGUGUGGGGAGCAAACAGGAUUAGAUACCCCGGUAGUC
rnacentral:rRNA from 1 species